rnacentral:rRNA from 1 species
UGGGGAAUAUUGCACAAUGGACGGAAGUCUGAUGCAGCAACGCCGCGUGCGGGAUGACGGCCUUCGGGUUUUAAACCGCUUUUUCUCAUGACGAAGUUUUUUGACGGUAGUGGGGGAAGAAGCACCGGCUAACUACGUGCCAGCAGCCGCGGUGAUACGUAGGGUGCGAGCGUUGUCCGGAAUUAUUGGGCGUAAAGAGCUUGUAGGCGGUUUGUCGCGUCGAUAGUGCAAACUCAGUGCUUAACGCUGAGCCUGCUGUUGAUACGGGCAGACUAGAGGAAGGUAGGGGAGAAUGGAAUUCCCGGUGGAGCGGUAGAAUGCGCAGAUAUCGGGAGGAACACCGGUGGCGAAGGCGGUUCUCUGGGCCUUUACUGACGCUGAGAAGCGAAAGCGUGGGGAGCGAACAGG